UCUUUCUGUUCUGUAAUAACAUAAACCUAUCUUUUAUAUUCCUAAUGUGAUUAUUUAAUAGACAGCUACAAGGAAUCAAUAAUAGGAAUCAAUAAUUGACUUUAACAUUGAUCCAUGUUCAGUAACCUGCUGCUGUUAUUACAUCUGAGUAAUUUUUUAACACAAAGCAGUAGUUUAUUUUGCCUGUCACACUUUUAGCACUAUAUAAAUAAUAAUAAAGUAGGUGUUUGGAAAGUACAAACACAUUUGGCCACAAGAAGAGCACAAAUAAAAUUGUUUCAGGACCGAGGGCAGUGGUUCUCAAACUUUUGUACUGGUGACCCCUUUCACAUAGCAAGCCUCUGAGUGUGACCCUCCCACCUU